rnacentral:rRNA from 1 species
UACCUACGGGGGGCAGCAGUGAGGAAUAUUGGUCAAUGGCCGGAAGGCUGAACCAGCCAAGUCGCGUGAGGGAAUAAGGCCCUAUGGGUCGUAAACCUCUUUUGUCAGGGAGCAAAGGCGUCCACGUGUGGACGAGAGGAGAGUACCUGAAGAAAAAGCAUCGGCUAACUCCGUGCCAGCAGCCGCGGUAAUACGGAGGAUGCGAGCGUUAUCCGGAUUUAUUGGGUUUAAAGGGUGCGUAGGCGGGCUGUUAAGUCAGCGGUCAAAUGUCGGGGCUCAACCCCGGCCUGCCGUUGAAACUGGCG